rnacentral:rRNA from 1 species
UACGUAGGCAGCAAGCGUUGUUCGGAGUUACUGGGCGUAAAGAGUGCGUAGGCGGUCCUGUAAGUUUGGUGUGAAAUCUCCCGGCUCAACUGGGAGGGUGCGCCGAAGACUGCAGGGCUUGAGUAUGGGAGAGGUAAGCGGAAUUCCUGGUGUAGCGGUGAAAUUCGUAGAUAUUCGGAAGAACACCAGUGGCGAAGGCGGCUCACUGGACUGGUAUUGACGCUGAGGUGCGAAAGCGUGGGGAGCAAACAGG